rnacentral:tRNA from 1 species
GCCUCGGUGGCGGAACUGGUAGACGCGCUGGAUUCAAAAUCCUGUUCUGGCAACGGAGUGUGGGUUCGAUUCCCACCCGAGGUA